UGGGGAAUAUUGGACAAUGGGCGAAAGCCUGAUCCAGCAAUGCCGCGUGAGUGAUGAAGGCCUUAGGGUUGUAAAGCUCUUUUACCCGGGAUGAUAAUGACAGUACCGGGAGAAUAAGCUCCGGCUAACUCCGUGCCAGCAGCCGCGGUAAUACGGAGGGAGCUAGCGUUGUUCGGAAUUACUGGGCGUAAAGCGCACGUAGGCGGCUUUGUAAGUCAGAGGUGAAAGCCUGGAGCUCAACUCCAGAACUGCCUUUGAGACUGCAUCGCUUGAAUCCAGGAGAGGUGAGUGGAAUUCCGAGUGUAGAGGUGAAAUUCGUAGAUAUUCGGAAGAACACCAGUGGCGAAGGCGGCUCACUGGACUGGUAUUGACGCUGAGGUGCGAAAGCGUGGGGAGCAAACAGG
rnacentral:rRNA from 1 species